CUGACAGAGCUGGUAACGGGGAGCGGUCUCCUGGCUGUGGUAGGGCCACCGCAGGCAGGAUCCGGAUGAUUUACAGAGGAACUCGUAGAGUUCUUGCCCAGAAAAGCGCUACACCUCGGAGGGGUCACCUUUGUAAAAUAGGUGGUGCAUGACGGGCGUGCAGAGCCAGAUCCACAUUUCGUUACUUUCAGGUUUCUCCAGCAGCCCUCGUGUGCCAUGAAGCUGGCGAAGAAGCUGCAUCUGUGGCUGCCUCUCAGUGACCUGAUACACCUACCCUCCUCCUUGAACUGCAGUUUCUUACGAAACCCUGCUGACGUACUGAUUUUUACUGGACUUGGCAGAAGCACCAUGUAGCAGUUAAUCCGAGUCUUAGCAGAUAAGAAGGCAGACUUGCCACCUUCGCGCGUGCUGCGUCUGGGGCACAGGAAAAUGUCUUUGUGAGGAGCGAGGGAUAAUAGUCGUAGAGAAGUCGAAAGAAGUGACAGAAACAGAAACAGAAUCUCUCAGCUGCGAUUUUUUUAAAGCAGGAUGCAUGGGAUUGAUGCAACUGCAAUUUAAAUGUGGGUGGCUGUACAUCCAUAAUUGCGUUGUGUGACAUGGGAAUGUAUGGCCAUACCAGAUGGAGAAGAGGGGAUGAACGCCAUCCGCUUACCGUACCCCAGAAACACAGCCUCUUCUGUGUACCGCCUUGCUGGGCCAAGGAGAAGCAGCCCGAGGACUCUUCUGCCUUAUGGAGCUCUGCUGGUUUCCACGUGGCUUUGGACAGAAGUUGCCAGAUCCGUCCCCCUGCCUGACCACCCCCUGGCGUCCAGGAUCUCGGCUC